rnacentral:rRNA from 1 species
UACAGAGGUCUCAAGCGUUGUUCGGAUUCAUUGGGCGUAAAGGGUGCGUAGGCGGCGCGGUAAGUCGGGUGUGAAAUCUCGGAGCUUAACUCCGAAACUGCAUUCGAUACUGCCGUGCUUGAGGACUGGAGAGGAGACUGGAAUUUACGGUGUAGCGGUGAAAUGCGUAGAUAUCCUAAGGAACACCGGUGGCGAAAGCGGCGUACUGGGUCUUUUCUGACGCUGAGGCACGAAAGCUAGGGUAGCGAACGGG